rnacentral:rRNA from 1 species
UACGUAGGGGGCGAGCGUUGUCCGGAGUUACUGGGCGUAAAGCGCUUGUAGGCGGUCCACCAAGUUUGGGGUGACAGUUGCCGACUUAAUCGGCAAAGUGCCUCAAAGACUGGCGGACUUGAGGGCCACAGAGGGACAUGGAAUUCCCGGUGUAGCGGUGAAAUGCGCAGAUAUCGGGAAGAACACCCGUGGCGAAGGCGGCUCUCUGGGACGGUACUGACGCUGAGACGCGAAAGCGUGGGGAGCGAACAGG